AGUGAACGCUGGCGGUAGGCCUAACACAUGCCAGUCGAACGGCAGCACAGUAAGAGCUUGCUCUUACGGGUGGCGAGUGGCGGCCGGGUGAGGAAUACAUCGGAAUCUACUUUUUCGUGGGGGAUAACGUAGGGAAACUUACGCUAAUACCGCAUACGACCUACGGGUGAAAGCAGGGGAUCUUCGGACCUUGCGCGAUUGAAUGAGCCGAUGUCGGAUUAGCUAGUUGGCGGGGUAAAGGCCCACCAAGGCGACGAUCCGUAGCUGGUCUGAGAGGAUGAUCAGCCACACUGGAACUGAGACACGGUCCAGACUCCUACGGGAGGCAGCAGUGGGGAAUAUUGGACAAUGGGCGCAAGCCUGAUCCAGCCAUACCGCGUGGGUGAAGAAGGCCUUCGGGUUGUAAAGCCCUUUUGUUGGGAAAGAAAAGCAGCAGGUUAAUACCCCGCUGUUCUGACGGUACCCAAAGAAUAAGCACCGGCUAACUUCGUG
rnacentral:rRNA from 1 species